UCUCCGGGGGGUUCUGUCCCUUGGCACAGAGCCGGGACGAGGCUCCUGCCGCUGGGUUUCUCCUCUGGAGGGUUUUUGCUCGUUGCAGGGGCUGGAGAAGGCGCUGGGGCAGCAGCUCGGAGGUGUGUGAGCCCAGGUGUGCCCUGAGGGGUUGUGCAAAGCCGGGGCUGAACGCAGGUGUGGUGGAAAUAGAAAUUAAAGCUAAACGAGAGAAAUGGUAGUGGCAAUGUCAGGUUAAUGGUUGGACUCGAGCAUAGAGGUAUUUUUCAGCCUUUUGGGCUGAACAAUAUAAGGAGGACACAAAGUUGUUAGGGAGCAUCCAAAGGAGAGCCACGAAGGUUGUGAAGGGUCUGGAGGAGAAGCCAUGUGAAGAGCACCUUGGUUUGCUCAGACUGGAGAAGAGGAAUCUCCAUCAACUCCCCCUCCAGGGCAGCUGAAGCCUCCCUUGCUGAUUCUGGUGUGUGAAUGUUUCAGAACACCAAUUUUGCCUCCAUCCCCACCCUCUCUUCUGGCCUCCCUUGUUCUGCCUUUAUCCCCAUCCUCCUCUGCCGACCUCCCUGCCUGCAUCUGUGCUCAGUGGCUGUGUGUACACAGAAACCUAUUGCUGAUAGAACAGUCCUUUCGUUGCCAGGUUCUGCUGUAGGUCAACAGAGACAGAUUUGAGUCUGUGGGCCACUUCUGCCAGAUUUGACAAGGGGUGAGACCUCCAAGAGAAGACAUUCUAAGUCCUGAGAGGAGAGACAUGAUGAGGAAAAGGUCCCCAGAAGGAGGGGACACUGCAUUACUUCUUAUCUGGAGGCGUUUGCAUCAGAACUCUAAAUCAAGCAAAGCUGCAUGUGAAAGGCACUCCUGACUUGCAGAGAGGGUCACAGAAAGUGUAAUUUUGUUAAGCUAUUGAAUGAAUAAAACAAUCGUUAAUGACCUGUUCUCUGCAUUGGUGAAGCAACUUUUAUCUGGAGAUGUA